rnacentral:rRNA from 1 species
GGGCCCGCACAAGCGGUGGAGCAUGUGGUUUAAUUCGAUGAUACGCGAGGAACCUUACCAGGGCUUAAAUGUAAGUUGCAUUAGUUAGAGAUAGCUAUUUCUUCGGACCACUUACAAGGUGCUGCAUGGUUGUCGUCAGCUCGUGCCGUGAGGUGUCAGGUUAAGUCCUAUAACGAGCGCAACCCCUGUUGUUAGUUGCCAGCGAGUCAUGUCGGGAACUCUAACAAGACUGCCGGUGCAAACCGUGAGGAAGGUGGGGAUGACGUCAAAUCAUCACGGCCCUUACGUCCUGGCUACACACGUGCUACAAUGGGAAGUACAGAGGGACGCCAAAGCGCGAGCUGGAGCU